UACGAGGGGGGCAAAUGUUGUUCGGAAUCACUGGGCGUAAAGGGAGCGUAGGCGGGCUUCUAAGUUAGGUGUUUAAUCCCAGGGCCCAACCCUGGUCAGGCACCUAAAACUGGGAGUCUUGAAUAGUGGAGAGGACGAUGGAAUUGGGGGGUGUAGCGGUGGAAUGCGUAGAGAUCCCCAAGAACACCAGUUGCGAAGGCGGUCGUCUGGACACAUAUUGACGCUGAGGCUCGAAAGCAUGGGGAGCAAACAGG
rnacentral:rRNA from 1 species